rnacentral:lncRNA from 1 species
UUUUCUUGCUUUAGGCGCGCCCCCCGCACAGGCGGAUUUAGAUGGAGGCGGUCGGCGGCCGACAGCGGUGGGCUGGGUAACAUCCCCACGGAUCUCUCCAUCCUCCAGUAGCGGGGACUCAACAUCGCAAUCUUCAUCAUCAAUAGAGGGUCUUCAAGGUAUCCCUUUCUCCCCCUGUCGCAUCUCAUCUUUCCAAUGCCCAGCCAGCCACCUUCUCCAUGCUUAGAUCUGUGUUUCAGGAUGCUACCACGCUCCACUUCCUGACCAAAUUUGGUAAAGGAUUUGGCUGGACUUGGUGCCACGGGGUCUUCCCACUCUGGGCAUUAGAACCGCUGGAUUCUUCUCUCACAUGGCCAUUGCCGACCAAGCCAAGCUAUCAUGUGGUGGCCAGAACGGGAAUCAUCAACCCAGCCUUUGGUACUCCCUCUUCUCCUUGACCUAACCUCAACAACCUGGUAAGGUGCAGGUGACCUCUACCUACUCUUUCAAGGUCUCCAACGAGGCCACCUAAAUCUGUGUGAAACCUCCAUUGCUGGUGGUACCUGGAAGUAUUGCCCUUGUACAUCAUCGUUAUAUCAUUCUACAUUGAAUAUUACUGCCCAGUAAAACGUAGUUGUUCAGCGAUGUCAUGUUUUUUCUGUUGUGUUAGCAUCUAGAUAAUAAUCAGAUUGUCGUUGUCAAAAAGGGGUACCAUUAAUGGGAUGGAAUCUCUGAAUCGGAUCAAGGACAUCCAAUUCCUAUUUCUGUUGUGUUCGCAUCCAGAGGAUAAUCAGAUUGUGGCUCUCAAAAAGGGGUAGCAUUAGGAUGGAAUCUCUGAAUCGGAUCAGGGACAUCCACUUCAUAACAUACUGUCCGUGCAUUAAUAACUAUCUUGUAAAUCUAGUUCUCUGCCAUACAGCAUAAGUGCAUCAGACCAUUACCUUUUUCUAGCUAAUUUAGCUGGUUUUGUAGAUUGUCUGACCUAUUAUUAUUACUAGUCGUCAACCCGUGCAUUCGCACGAGCUAGAUUUUUUAAAAUGAAUUACUUAGAUUGUUUUAAUGAUGCAUAUUAAAUUAAGAAGAAUAAGAAUCAAAGAUACUAUAUGGUAGCAUUAUCCACAUGCAGAUGAUGAAGGUACACAUACAUUCCUACCUAGUGGGCCGGCAACUCUACCAAUAGGCAUAGUGGCAACUUUACAUAGUGGGCGCAUCUUAAAAUCUAAUCAAACAAUUGUUUUGAUUUAGUAUUGUAUCUGGAAAUGAAGUCAUGAAAUAAACCUUAAUAAAAAUAAGAAUGUGCAUGGGAAAAGCCAGGCUUUGAAUAGCUCGAGACUUACUAAUGUGGUUUUGAUACGUAAAGCAAAGAUGUAAUUUAGCAACCUUGAACUGAACUAAGCUGCAUAUAUUUAUACUAUUCUUGGUUUUAAAGGAUUUACCCUUUGUCAGCUUAGUCAUGAACAAAACUCCAUGGUAAAAAAAAUAACAGUACGGCUAAAAAAAUAUGGAAUAUGCAAUACUUCUGUUUCUAAGAAUAUAUUACACAGUUCAACAUAUAGUAGAAUAAAUCACGCUCAUGUUAAGAACCUACCAUGUUAAUGCCUAAGCAUCUACGAAUAUAUUACACAGUUCAACAUAUAUGUCAUGAAAGCCCCUGCAAUAGCAAAGAAGAAUCGGAUCGCCCCCAAGAAUCAGGGCAGCAAGGCCUCUAUCAACCAUGUUAAUGCCUAAGAAUCUGAGAACACUUAACCAACCCUCAAUACAUGAAGGGGCGAUCAGAUGAGACUGAAAUUCUACAAAACAAAUAUUUCCAUGUAUGGCUCUAGAAUUUCAUAUGACCACUUUCCUUUAAGAGGUAUGGAAACAUGCAUAUGAAAUGGAAACCAUCUAAUUUCGACAAAAUAUAUCUAGGCAAUAACUCUAAGAUUGCUCAAGUUGAAAAAAAGACCUCAACCUUGACUACAAAGUUGUAUAUUAAUACUAUAUGUGCUUUUGGAGAAUUUACCAUUCGCCUAUAUAGUCCUGAGAAAAAUUCCCUGGUAAAGAAAAAUGCUAGGAGUAAGCUUAUAAAAUUGGUAAUGAAAUAAUACUUUGAAGAAUAUAUUGUAAGAGUGCGAUUUGUACUUCUUCCAGCUAUUUAACUAUGUAAGAUAGCUUACCUUUCUGAUCGCCCAAAGCAGCCUACAAAAACCGACAAAGCAACAAUAAUACCUUUAAUAUUAUCAUACGGAGGUAUGCACUUGUAGUAGUAUAAAUCACAUUCUUGUUGAUGACCAUGGACAUAUUACAAUUGAUCCGACCUACAUAAUGUAAUCACAUUCUUGUUGAUGACCAUGGACAUAUUACAAUUGAUCCGACCUACAUAAUGUACCCUUAUGUUUGCCCAAUACUCGACAUCUUUAAAAUGAUUAAUUUGAACUCAAAACUUCUGUUGCUUCAAAAAGGAUAGCACUACCUAGUUUUGUACGACCCGCAUGCGAACUGACUCUUGUCAGCCCUAGAAAGCUUAUGGUUCUAAUCACCCAAAGGAGCCUACAGAUACAGAUAACACGGAAAUAAUACCUGCAAAAUAUCUUACAUGCAUGGUUAAGCACUUGUAGCAGUAUAAAUCACACUCCUCUUGGGUGUUGACGACCAUGGAAUCUUACAACCGUUCUCACCAACAAUAUGACCCGCUAUCUUUGUCGUGUACUUUAUCUGUAAAACAAUAGUUUUUUACGCAAAAAAUAAAAAAUGUUAACUCUCUAUUAAAAUAAAAAUUAAGAGGAAAAUCAGUAGAGAGCAUGACGGAAAAACCUUAGAGAUUAGAUGACUAACUUCCAGGAGUCAAGAGAACAACCCAUUGCGUUUCUUAAGUAGGUAGCGCCACACGGUUUUACAUGGUAGGUAAGCCUACAUGUAAACUCCAAAACAUGCAAUUUGGAUAGAGAAAUGGUGGUAGCACAUUUUAUGGUGGAAAAAAGUAUAAAUAGUACAUUACUUAUAACGGUACUUGAGCUACUUACGUGCACAUGUAACUCCAUGAAAAACAUCUUUGCGUAAUUCUGACUACCAUCCUUGACCGAUUGACCUUGAACCCCAUGGUCACAUCUGCAAUCAGUUCUCAUUUCAUUCAAAUAUGUGCGUUAUAAACAUAUUGACAUCCAAGCAUCAUGAUUAAUCAAUAGAGUUUCUUAAUUCAAGUUCAGUGAGUAGUGAAUGUCCAUAGUACCAACAAAAUGAUAGGGAUAAACAAAAUCAAAUCACUGCCAGAUUGAUCAAAGCGGGCCAUUAAUUCAUGUUUAGUGAUUGCAAAGCAGCAGCAAAGUUGGUAGAAACAACUUAAAAUGGACUUCCAUCGGCCCAUAAAAAUUCCACAGAUGCUAGACAGGAUCCAAGCUAAAAGAUUCGAUCAUAUGUAAACUGCAGCAAACAUAUGUGAGUUAUUAACUAUUAAAAUAUAGUUAUACUAAAAGAACCAAAUUUGUAGGAAUUUCUUGGGAAUGCAUAAUUAGUAUAAGUAUAGAUUUGUUGAUCGUUAUUUGAGGAAGGCAUAUUGUCCAAACUUAGCUAAGGUCUUAUUAAUAUCAUGAGGCAAGAAUUUAUAUAGCCGCAAACUGGUGGCGUUAUCCAAUGUAUCAAUCUUGCAUUAUUAGGUAUCAAUUCUUGUUUGAUGUAGUCAUUGUCUAUUUUGUCAUAUGGUUGCCCCACCCAUGCCUCCAUCCAGUGUGACCUUGUCAUGCUUCCUCACAGGUGGCGGAGUUCACGUAUAUGAGCAACAAAGUGGUUUCACUACUUGGCGGAGAGGGCACCCAUGGAUACCCAUGAGAAGGUGCCUCAACAGAUAUUGCGUGGCAGUGAAGCUCGACCUUGGCUACAACCUU